rnacentral:rRNA from 1 species
AUUGAACGCUGGCGGCAUGCCUAACACAUGCAAGUCGAACGAGUGGCGGACGGGUGAGUGCUGUCUUGGAAACUGCCUGAUGGAGGGGGAUCACUAGUGGAAACCGUAGAUAAUACCGCAUACCAUCAGAUGUGCCCAGAUGGGAUGAGCUUGUUGGUGGGGUAACGGCUCACCAAGGCGAAGAUACCUAGCUGGGCUGAGAGGAUGACCAGCCACACUGGAACUGAGACACGGUCCAGACUCCUACGGGAGGCAGCAGUAGGGAAUAUUGCACAAUGGGCGAAAGCCUGUUCCAGCCAUGCCGCGUGAAUGAAGAAGGCUUUCGGGUUGUAAAGUACUGUCAGCGGGGAAGCGUUACCUGCAGAGGAAGCCCCGGCUAACUCCGUGCCAGCAGCCGCGGUAAUUC